GAAUGAGCAACAGGCGGGCGUGGGGGUAUGACCAGAAUUGAGUUCUGGAAACCAUCGAUCAAGUAUCAAUAGCAAAGGACAAGAGAACAGGAAACGGAAAUCAGAAUCCCAGGGUGGAACUUCUAGGGGGUGCUCUCUACCAGAUGUGGGAGGAAUAGCCCCGGAAGAGCAGCUGGCAGAAGUAACUGCUUGCCACAGUCUGCAGCAGCCGAUCUCACAUCCCCAAACACCCACUGCAAGGCUUCCAAGUGAACAAACUUCACAGAGACCCAAGUAGAGCCUCCCAUCUUAAAGAGCUGGCAAUUACAACCGGUGAAGGUCAGAUGCCAGCUCCUCCCCUCAUGGAAGAGAGAGGCUUCCUCAAUGCCACUUCUGAACACAAGUUGAACAUCCCUAAUCUGAAAAUGGGAAAUACUCCAAAAUCCAGAAUGUUACAAGUACCACCGUGAUGGAUGCCACACUUGACCUGGCGUGUUCAAAGCCCAAAGGUACUAAAGAGUAUUUAACGCACAAGGUACCUAGGACACACACACACACACACACACACACACACACACAGGCAAGUGCCUUUCUAGAGGGCGGGCCGGAAGAACAUCCUCCGAUGGGAACAGAGGAAGUCACUAGGAAUCUGAGGGUGUGCCAGAUAUACCUGGACAAAACCAGGCAGGCCUUGGGUACACCCCACCUCUGUCCUGCAGACAACGCGUCCUGGGCAUGAGGCGGUGUGUCCGGGCUGGGCUGUCAGCUCAGAGGCGUCUGCAACCUGACAGCUGCAAGGACGCCGCCCAUUUGUUUUCUACAAGGCCAUUUCCCUGUGGCCUGCCAGGCUGGGCCAGCCAGAGUUUCUGCUUCUCCGGAGUGAGAAACAACAUGUUUCCAGCCCAGCACAUGAAAAAGGAAAGAGCUAUCUCUUCCGUUCUCGCUGUAGUUCUCUUGCCCUACCAUCACCUGAGAGGAAGUCUGGAGGAGAGCGUCCCUCCUCUAUGAACCCCAUUCCCCAACAACAGCAAACCAGCACUGACCAUACCCAGGACACUAUGCAGUCUGAGGAUGAAUUACCACGCAGGAUGAAAAAGCAGCUGCCUUAGAGGACUUGGAAAGGAGACUCCGAGCCAAGCCCACGUACUGCCUUCGGUGAUGUUUCUAUUCAUGAGUCACCUUGCACACUGUGGCUCUCCAGACUUCUUAAAAAUGAAAACCGUCAAAUCAGA